rnacentral:misc_RNA from 1 species
GUGGGAGGAUUGGCUUUGACGUGACCAGCUAGAUUGAUGUUGGGGGGAGUUUGUUCGCGGUGAUGGUGGCAUCAAAGCUGGAGGCGGGUCUGGUGGCAGCAUUAAUAUCAAGGCCCACAGAAUUUAAGUCCCUUUAUUUAUCUAAAUUCAAUUUGAUGGGUUUGUCAUUCUUCUUGUUGGAUUAUAUUGCGCAUAUGUUUGUUUUGCACUUAGAGUAAUGUUGCGUUUUACAAAUUAGAUUCUUGUGAAACAUUUUGCCAGUAAAUUGAUAUUUUCUUCUUUGUGAUAUCGGUUAAUGGAGUUGGUGAAGCUUGUCCCGCUUUGUAUCGUUUUAUUCAAGUGUGUACUGGUAGUAUUUUUCUUUUCCUUCAUUUCCUUGCAUGUAAUUUGUACUUCUUGGCAGAAUUACUGGCAGUGUCAGGUAACUUGAUUCCCUAUAGAGUUAUGUUUCCAAGAUGGUUGUGGUCAGUGUAGAGUUUCUUAAAUCUUCAAUGGCAUACCUUAUUGAUAAGGAUGUGGUGUCAACUGUCAAGUAAUGGAAGCAUUUGCAAGAGUAGAAUAAAAGGACUGUAAUUUGGUACAAAAACUGAUUUUAAAAUUUGAGAUGUGCUGUGAUAAGAGGUAAACUACGGGUUGAUGAACUAUGAAACAGGGGAGGUGUUCCUUCUUAAUCCUGGACUCUCUGUAUUAGAUAGGUCACUGUCAGUGUGAUAUAGGAGAUAUUGAUAAACCAUCAACUAUCGCUGUUUGUCGCAUUAUUUGGGACCUUAAUUUUUACUGCUUUUUUCACUUUAGCAGGGAUAUGGUUUUUGAAUUCAUUGUGAAUUGUGUUAUCCAUAAGUGGCUAAAAAAUCUUCCCAAUGAAUAAUUUUCUUCAAUGAGGAACAGCACUGGAACUGGUAAGAUAAGUGCUUUGGGGGGUAAUGGAUUUGCUGGUGG